CACAUGGCUGUCAUCCUUAUGGGUGUCAAAUGUGUGCUCCACUCCCCAGCACUGCAUCUGAGUUCCAGGUGGGAAGGCAGGAAGCACAAAGCAAAAAGUAGCUUUCUAACUGGUCUUCUGCUUCCACUCUUGACACCUUCAAUCUGUUCUCAACAUGGCAGCCAGAGGUGUCCUUUUGAAGCAUGCAGCCUGCAAGGAACUGAAUGCUGCCAUGUGAGCUUGGAAGCAGAUUCUUCUCCAUUCAGGCCCCGGAUGAGAACUCAGCCCUGGACAACACUUUCUGUUUUUAAUUAAGAUAUAAUU